UUUACCUUGAAAUGAGCUAUUUUGCUCCACGAAACGUACUACAUUGUUAAAAAUGUCGCUGAAGAGAAAUUAGCAUUAAGACGAAGUAAGAUUUGUACAGAGGCGUAGGUAUGGUUCCAGAUUUCAAAAUGGCGCCCGACGCGGUACCCGCAGGGGUGUCACUGCUGUCGUUUCAGCUUUUGGAUAAUUAAUAUCGAUUGCGUAAGAACGCGACGCUAGGAUGCGAGGUACAAACAAUAGGUCUUACAUUUUCUAUUUAUAUUUCACUUUUCAGGGAUAGCGAGAAAAAGUAAAGUUGUAAAAUAUUUAAAAAGUUAAAAACUACGUCAUUAUGAACUACAAACAGUGGUAUUGCGUCAUAAUCGUUCUGCUUGUGACGUCACAGAUGUUCAUUGAUACAGCGGAAGCUGGAAGGCGAAGGAAAUGCAAACAAUCGGUUUGCCACAGCUGUAAAAAGAUCCUUAAAAACAAAGAGAUGGUACCAUUGAAGUUUCUCUUCAUAUGUCGAAUGUGUUCCAAAUCAUGCAGACGUCAGCUGUCGUCAUUCUUCCUCUCAUAGAGAUCAUAUAUACCGACGUGUACAGGGGACAAGCUUCAACUUAUUCACUGAGUUAAUAUUCAAACAAACGUUUAACAUCAGGAAAUAUAAACGAAAUAUACAUCAUUAUAUAGUAGGGUGGGGAAAGAUGGGACACCUUUACAUUCUAUUUUAUCAUCUCAUUUGGUAAUAAAUAAAGAAUAUUGAUAGAAUUAUAUAACCGUAUCCUCACGACUUCCAUUGAUCGUUGUUAAUUAUUUAAAAAGCAAUCAGAAUAUUUGAAUAUUAAGUGCUUGAGGUUUCCCAUCUUAUCCCAUGGUACAAUAUCUCGGAAAUAAACUAUCGUAUUAACGUCCACGAUGCAGUUAUUCUGUAAAUAAAUCAAUGUUGCCACCGUAUUAAUGUAUUGUAUUUUAAAGUUCAUGCGUUGCUUCCAGCAUUCCUACGUAAAGUUCUUUGUUGUUUUUGUUUGUUAUAUUUGUAUUUGUGCAUUAUACACCUUACUAAUACAGAAAACUUCACACAAACUUUCAUUGAAAGGAAUGAAUGUAA